CGGGCUCUGUCAUUCUUUGGGGCUUCUGUGACUCUUCCAGCAGGCUGAUUGUGGUGGGCAGAACUGUCGUCCUCCCCUGCCCCCACUCGGACCGUGAAGAUCCUCUAAUCCCCAGAACCUGUGGAUGUGUUACGUCACUUGGCCACAGUGAGUUCAGGUUGCGGAUACCAUGAAGGCUGCUGGUCAGCGGACUUUACAGUAGAGAGAAGAGAUGAGAUUACCUCGAUGGGCUCAAUCUCAUCACCUGGAGAUCCGAGAAGGUGCCAUGAGCCGCCUCGAGGAGCCAGGAACAGCCCUCAGGUACAGCCAGUGAGAAAACAGGGACCUCGCUACAACUUCGAGGAGCUACAUUCUGUUAGCAACCCAAAUGGACGGAAACCAGAUUCUCCCCUAAAACUUAGAGGCUUCAGAAAGGAACGCAGCAGCUGACCUCUGGAUUUCAGCCAUGCCUGCCAGACUUCUGACCUGCAGAGCUGUGAGGCAAUUUGCGCUGCUUCAGAUGAGAGACCUACAGAUACAGAGACUGGAAUCCUGGAACACACUGGGGCGUGAGGAUCUCUGUUUGGCGACCCCACUAAGAAGCAGGUUUCCAUGGGGUCAGACCCAGCCUACAGAAAAGGCCAGUGGCAAGGAACUGCAGGUGGCCUCUAGGAGCUGAGGGUGGCCUUGUUGUGUGGCUACCAGGGGUACCAAAAUGAAUUCUGCCAACAACUGGAGUGAAUUCAGAAGCAGGUCCAUUGGCAGUCAAUGACUGUGGAGGUUCUCCUAAAAGCCAGAGAGACCAAGUUAAAUAAUCGCUACUUUGAAAAAAAGGUUCUGAGAUAGCAGGGAGGUCCGAUUCUUAUGGCUGACUUAUGAAGACGGGGUGAGAAAGCAGUCAAGAGUCUAGGUUGUUGUCUUGCUGGAGAAACAGAAGAUGAAAGACUUUGUCCUUCACAGACACAUCACAAAGCUUCCUCUACCCGCUCUCUGCAGUUGGGCAGCAGUUUGCCUUCCUCUCAGCCCUUUCACAGCAUCUGAUGCACGGCUCUUAGCCAGGUAUCAGAGAGGCCCCCAUCAGUGAUGCCCCAUGGCGCCAGGAAACAUCCCACCAGUGGACACCUGCUCACACCCCCACCCCAUGCUGGAUGUGGAGAAAGACUGUGCUCCCACCCCAAGAAGUGCACCACCACACCCGCCUGGCAGAGUUGGGCUUCUCCAGCUGUCUGGCACAUGACCGCCCCUGUUCAUACAAACGAGGCACCUCUGGGGAGGCCAGCUGUGCUGCAGCUGAUGACACAUGGUGACUGAAGGUGGUGGAGAUGAAUGAAUGUGAUGAGCCAUCAUCCCAGCUGCUCUCAUCUCCGCCUUGCUGCCGCAGGCUCUGCUGUCUGCAUCUCUGCACAGGCAGGCGUGGCUCCAGGUGGAGGACCGGCUUGGUCCCACUGCAGGUGCCAUUCACUGCUUUCCCUGCAUUUCCCCCUGGAUCCCAUCACCUGGCAGGUUAGCGUGGAAGCUGGUACAAUUAGAUGUCAGUUUGCCGCCAGGCUGGCAGAGGCCCCCCAGGGCUGUCAGUUGCCGUCUGUGAUGACAGCAGGGCUGCUGUGUGCCAGCCCUGAGCAUUCUUGGGGCUUUGGCACCUGCACAGGCCUGCCAUGCCUUUGUGAUGCCUUAACAGCCACAACUAGGGCCACCAUGAGCUUACAGGACAGUCCUCACUCUCUUAAUAUC
ensembl:lncRNA